rnacentral:pre_miRNA from 1 species
CAAGUAUAGUUACCGUCUGUCUACCGAACAAUAUCCCCCGCUCGGUGGAAGAUCUUCCCUUUGCCCU